GUGAUUCAAGGACAGAGAUGAAAUAUGUUCAGCCCCCCCUCACCUGUGUACUGCACCACUCUUCGAGCCCCUCUUCCCCCACAAAACAAAACAAACCCCAAAAGUGACAGAUGAAUUGGAAGGUGCUGAUAUCAGGCCUGCAGAGUGACUGUCUCUGCCAGUGACAUAAACAGUGAAAUCAGCCACUGCUCAUGUGCAUGCAUGUACAGAAGCUGAUUCAGUGAGAUGCAUUGUGCUACACCCUGCGGAUUCAAGAUCAGUCUAACCUGGACCUAAAACUCCAGCAACCUCUUUUACAACAUUUUACUGGUUGAAAACAAAUCAGGGGUGGGAACUCCCCUUCCAUUAUAUUCUGUACAACCUACAAGUUUAUGAAACGUUGUGUAUACAUUGUCUUUCAAAUCUGGACUCAGGUUUUCUUUUCUCCUUAGAGGUCUGUAUAUGUUGUCAGUUUUACAAAUACUGCAUGUUGCAGCAUCUAUUUACAUUAUUAAAACACAUACCUCUGUGAUACUGUCUCUUGCUGUUCCUAGUGUAAUGGAGUUAAUAUUACAAUUUUUUUUAUUAUUUCUGUAAAACCCUAAAGUUGUUAUGUUGUCUUUUUGUGAUGGCAUCAUUUGUUGCCUGUAUUUUGCCCAGCGUCUCCUUAGAGGACAUUUUUGCUAAGAAAAUAUUAACAUGUAUUCUUUUGCUGAGAGAGACAAAUAAAGCUCCCUUUAAUUUAAGGACAGGAGAAAUGAAAGUUAUUCCCUACCCUGUCUGAACAGGUGUGUAAAAUGGUUGAAAAAAUAUAUAAGAUAAAUUGGGACCUGAUACUGAUUUCAGUUCCACAGGUGUCAAUCCAGAGUCAUUCCAUUGACUUGGGGCUUGAUAUUGCCAGAUGCUGAGCACUCUGGCCUGGAUCCACUAAUGCAUCUAAAUAUGUCUCCAGGUCAGCAAGGUACUUAAGCAAGUGCUUCACUUUAGGCACGCAAGUCGUCCCAUUGGCUUCCAUAGGACCAAUCAUGUGCUUAAAAUGAAGCACGUGGCUAAAUGCUUUGCUGGAUCAGGGCUAGAGUAUUCAGCAUCUUGCAGGAUAGAGCCCCUAAAUGGAAUGACCCUGGAUUUACACCAGUGGAACUGAGAUCAGAGUCUGCCUCUUGGGUACUAGCAAAUAUUCACUAUAGUAGGUUUGACGAUGAAGGGGAGGACGAAGAUGAACAUGUUGACUGGGACAAGACAAAUAACUGUAAACAAAACAGUACUUUGUUGUGAUCUUUAUGUCUCAGAGGUGUAGUCCUUGUGUCUAAACUCAAGGUACUGGUACCAGACAGGUACUUUGCAGCUAUUUAACAACAUGAUUUUUGAUCCAGUGCCAUUAAAUGUCCAUGAAGAGUUCAGUCUUUCUCUCUCUCUCUCUCUCUCUCUCCCUGAUUUUUUUUAGUAGUUGUUAGUACUGCAGUAGAGAUUUUAUAUACAGGACUUAUUUUAAUUGUUCUGUCUAUGAAGCAAUCAUAACAAUUAUGUCUUUGUUUUAAGUUGAAUUCUAACACACACAUAUAUAGUAGUAAUAUUUUCAUUAUAUGUUGCAUUAUAACAUGUUAAACAUAUAAAAUAAUUGUGUGUCUAUAGCUAGCCAUCUAGCUAUCUGUCUAGGUAUACAGAUGGAUAUGUGAUAUAUCACAUACAGUACAUAUUGCUAAAAAAUUAAAGAUGAAAAACAUGCUAUGAUUUUUUUAAGAAAUCUGCAACAAAACAUUUGAUUUAUACACUUCUAUCAAAAAGCUAGAUACAUCCAUUGGGCACAUCACUUCAUUUCCAACUUACACACAUGCAGCAUAAGCACUGUACUCGAGGAACCCCCUACAUUAAGAGAUUAUAUACAGUGUCACCUAAAUAACUUCAAAAACUAGCCAACAAGAACAUAACUUAGAAAUGACAACAUGUUGUAGCCUAAACACUAAAGCAAAAAUAGUAAUACAAAAUGUGACAUUUUCUAACUGUGUGAUAAAUUAAUGGUGUUAUAAAACCAUGAACCAUUGAGGCCCGUUCAAGUUUGUUAGAAUUCUGAAACAGAUUUAUAUGGCAUCCAUAAUGUGUUCUUAAGCUGCUGUAACAUUCCAUACAAGCAUGACCUACUGUCCCAAGAAACUUUUUAUAUUUAACUCUCUGUGGAAAGAUGUCUCAAUAAAUAAGAACAAUAUUUGGGUAAUAGUAUUGCAGUUGAUAACAUAUCAAAACCAAUCAACUUCAGAAGAGGAAUGUAUUUUUACUGCGCAGAUGCCUUUGCCAUUAGUAUUUAAUAUCUUCCAAAUUGAGUAAUUUGUAUAAUGAAGAGACUGAAACAAUAGCAAGAAUUUAGGCUACAGAUGUUUCAUAUUUAUUUCCAAGAGCUGAGAUAAAUACAGGAAUAAGUGAUACCAUGUCUUUGCUUGACAUUCAGAAGGCUUUGGCAUAUCUGAUGAGAUACAGUUUCAGGGUUUAUCGAAGUGCAGAGUUUGUAUAAAAAGAAAAAAGAUACCAGCUGUUAUUUUAGUUCUUUUCCCUGCAAAGGUUGGAAACCAUUUACAGUGAAAGUGUGGGAAAAUUAUAUUAUGGAUUGUGAGUACGAUACUGCCUGGCAGGCAUGUCACUGGAGUCAUGAAAGGAAGCCACUGUUUCCCAAAUCCAGAUGUAUAUAUUUUGACUGGCACUGCUCAAGGAGUCUAAGCAAGUUAGAUGCCCAACUCUCAUCAAUACUGAAAGUUAGUAAGAGCGGUUGGAUUUUUCAAAAAUGCUUAAGUGACUUAGGAGCACAAGUCUUAUUGGCUUUCAAUUGGACUUGUGCUUUUAAAUUACUUAGGCACUUUUAAAAACCCAUCCUAGGUACCUAACUCAUUUAGGCUCAUUUGAAAAACUCAGGCUUAUUUAUUUUCAUUUUAAUACAAAUUAAAUUCAGAAACACAUAGAAUUGGACUUUUAUCUGGUGUAAAUCAGGCUAGUGCUAUUUACUUUAAUUGAGCUAUUUUAAUUUAUACCCAUUUACGAUAUGGCCCUCUUAUUUAAUCUGGAUAAGUAGCUCAUGAGUUGCCCGUCAGCUACACACUUAAACAUUUAUGAGGCAAUUUCAAUAGAAACUGACUCUGUGGUCGGUAUGUAUAGAUUGAUCUUAAUCAAUGCAUCUCUGGUUCUGCCAUUGCCACAGGUCGUGCAUGCAGGCUCUUGAGCAUGGGGCAGUUUGUUCAUUUGCUCAUGAGCAGUUUGUUCAUUAGCCUCUUGUUUCUUUUAGUACAAUAUAUAAUUGGUGACUGGCCUUUACACUGCCUGCAUAUCACUGUAUAAUUCAGCUAUGGGGAAACAUUUAUUUUUCCAUCUUCCAUGGCCAGGGCCUGACUCAAUGCCAAUGAAGUCGAUGGAACACCUCCCACUUACUUCAGUGAACAUUGGCUCAGGCCUGUAAGGCUCAAGCAUUUAUUUCACACUUCACCAGGUUCGACACACACCCCCACUUGGCGUAGUGCCCAGGGAACUCGUGACGUGUGGCAAUUUUCGGAUGGAAGCUCGAGACCGCUUAAAUUCUGAGAGAAUGUGAAGCACACGGGGAAUGUGCACCAUGUACAUGACAUCUGAAUGUGGUCCGUUAUCUUGCUAGCUUUGCGAUGCUUUCUGACAGUAACUUCAGACGUCACCGUCCGAAGGCAGCAUCCAACAGGCUCCUUCCGCCUGCCUGCCUGCAAGACUAUGUUAUAUAUAUUUUUAAUAGAAUAAAAACACUUCUUUUUUUUAAAAACAACCCACCAUCAAGGGCUUAUCGAUCAUCAAUGGCUUUGACUGGCUUCCAUGCCAUUGGGAAAAGGCCCUCUUGAGUAUAUGUUGAUACAGUGUGGAGAACCCAGCCUGUUGUUCUUAUACAUUACACACCAUCUUUUUAAGUGCGGCUAAUGUUACAAAUAGCAAAAAUAAAUAAAUAAAUAAAUAAAUAAAUAAAGGAGGGGGGCAAGGGGGAGACUUGACAUAAUAAAUGUUGGUGCUUUAGGUUUUGUUUGCUCUUUAAUUUUUAAUGCUAACAAGGACCAUGCAGCCGGUAUGACGUUUGUAGUACCAUAUCCACUGCAUAAAAUCAACUGUUGUGAUUAAAAAAGAAAACAAAACCCAUAUACACACAAGAAGUUAUCCAUCUAUAGAUGGCAUACAUUUCAAAGAAAACUAAAAAUGCAAAGCGUUGUUAUUGCAACACUAUAAUUAAUGUAGAACUAGUGUGGUUGUUUAUUAAUGCUGAAGUGUGGGGGGUCUCCUAACUGUCUAACUUAUCAUUUGCAUACCAUUGAAUAAUGCCUACUGUGUUGUAUUUCUGCUGUUAAAAUAUGUAUUUUUGAGGUUGCGCGGGGGGAGGGGAUGAUCCAUAGCAUACUUUAAUUUGUCACUGUUUGUCCAAAAAGCUAACUGUUUCCAGGAGAAUAAUAAUUUCAUUAUGGUGAUGCUGUAAGCUCCAAGAAAAGUUGAACCCCCACCCCCCCACAAAAAGCCCCCUGUGGUUAUUGAUUGAUCUUUGUUACAGUUAUCCUUUAUUUGUGCAAGUAGCCCUAUUCUGGAAAGCAGUUACCACAAGCUUAUUUUAAGCAUGUGCUCAAAUCCUGUUGGAUCUAAUAAAGCAUUUGAACACUUGCUUAACUCUGUGCAUGUGAGUGCUCCUAUUGACUUUCAUAUGACUAUUAGGGACUUAAGUACAUGCGUAUGUACGUUCCUGAAUUGGGUGCACAGAUUGUACCACUGAAUUCAGUAUAUUCUAUUGAUGACCAUGUGUGAUAAGGGUUAUAGGAUCAGGCCUAAGAGCUGAUGUGAAUCUUUUAUUUGGUUAAGUCCUGAUGCUGCAGGUCAAGCUGUGCCAUCAUCUUAUUUUCAUGUAAAACCACCCUGAAAUUUAUACCAGGUAGAAAUUUACCAUGCAGGGUCUCAGGUCAGGUGACAAAGUUAUUUGUAUUUAUUAAUUAUUGUUACUUGCUUUUUUAUUUAUUUUUCAAAGCUGAAUGUGAAAAUUUGGCCAGCCUGCUGUUUUGCCCGUGAAACUGCAAAAUAGAUAAAAUAAUAGCACCUUUGGGUCAUUUAAAAAAAAAUAUCUAUAAAUGUUAUUUUGUUUAGGAGAGUGGUUACAGCACAAGCACAGUCACUUUUGUAACAAAACUUUUGUAAAGGACUUUAGACUCAUAGUUGCAGAGUGCAUGAGCGUCUGUGCACACCACUGUAUUAAUGGAGCCGUGCCAAUAGACUAUCAGUGAUCUGUGGAUGACCGUGUAUAAAUAGGGAUUGAUACAACAGACUAUUACUGUUUCUUCUGAGGUGUUAUGGAUUCUAGGAUCAAUAAUCCAUGGGUUACACGCUCUCUGAUGGCCCCACUUGGUACACAGUAAUGGCAGCUGUGCAGCCACAGAAGCAGGCCACGUAUGCAGUGCUUCUGGUUAAAUUCUGCCAGAAUGCAUGGGGAGCUAAAGUAACUUUGCAUUUAGUCUUGGCAUGUAGAUGCUGGGAACACAGGUAGGGACUAGGCUGAAUUGUUCCAAUGGCAAAAAUGUCAUGGUUCAGACCUCCUAGUCCACAUUCUGAACUAGUGACAAUGUCUGUGCUUGCAGCUGAAUUAGAUCAGAACCAUUAGUAAUACACUUGGCCCAAUAGCAGCCCCUGCUGGGACCCCUCCAUUCUUCCCUGGGGGACUUUGGCAAGGAGAUUUGUCAACAGGCAUGGCCCUUAUCCCAAGGUCCAAAUUUGAUGACCAAUGUUGAGCAAAUGCAGCUGGUGAAAAUACAGGCAGGAUUACACAUUGAAUAAUGGAUGUAGACCUCACUCCCCAGUACGGUAGUAUAGACCAUAGUUGAUCAGGCUCUGAUGUGCAGCAUAACCUCAGCAGAUCAGGUCAAUCCUUAUACCAUAACUAGGCGUGUCAAAAAUGGCACCCAUUUUGCUCCAUAUCUGUGCAUUGCUCUGCACCUGUUUACGAGGAGUUUUUUGAGCACUGAAACAGCACUUCCUACAUCUUUGAUUGAUUAUGCCUCAUGUGCAAAGGAAUUAACAAUUCCCAUCAGCUGCUGGCCUCUCCCACGGCAGCCUCAAACCACUUCCACAUCAGGGUAUGCUAGCAGCUGCAUUCUCACUGGCAUGGCUGUUUCAGAAUGUGGCAUAUGGGUCAAUUUUACUCCACUGCAUAGCUGGAGCACUAUGCAGUGGAGUAACUCUUCUCUUUUCCCUAGAGUACUGUACUGAAUUGGGUCCCCUAAAUACAGAUUUGCAGAAUGGCUGGUUACAGUUCUAUAUAGCUAUAAACCAUUAAAUCAAUAAUCUGUUUUUAAACAUCCUUCAGUACAUACUUACCUGAAAAAUUUCAGAAGAUUGUGUGACUUUUUUACAUGUCACAACAUGCCAAGAGCAGACAAAGCUCAGUUCAUAGUUUAUUUCAGGACAUUGUGGAAACAUUGGGCCUUAGCCUGUAACUCUCUGUCACAGCAGUACAAGUCCAGAGUAGGUCACUUAUUUCACUCUGGAUUUAUACCAUUGUAACUAAGGGUAGAAAGGGGGCCCAUUGCUACCAUACAGAGUUGGUAGAAGUAGAUGGCUAGCAGGUAUUUUUACCCUAUCUAGGAGGAAUUUAAAUAAAUAGAAGUAACACAAGCAAUGCUCUGAUUGUGUUCUGCUGGGCACAGACACAAAAGUGAAACAAUACUUUCCUACUGAGUUGAAGGUGAAGUGAAAUUGUUAAAUUCUCUUUUCUUUUUUUUUUUCAAACGAAUUAAAAAAAAACCCAUUUAAGAUUUUAAGUCAUUUGCAGAAUUCAUGUGUUGCCUUAAGAUUAUAAAUAUAUGUACCAACUAUGUUGAAAGCUUUAGUAACUGUUAAGAACUGAGCUCAGGGUUCCAUGUCUCACCUGCGAGUGCUGAUACCAUUUACAAACACCUCAUGCUGGAAUGAAGCACUAGGCUCUUCUUCAGUCUGUGUAAGACCAUCUGUAUUGCAAUCGUGUGCAUUAGGACUAUAUUCUCAGCUGGUAUAAAUCGGAGGAGCUCCAUUGAAAUUGGUGUAGCACCACUGAAACCAGUGGAGCCAUGCCGCUUUACACCAACUGAGCACCUGGCCUGUGGGGCUUUGGAUGCCUUGUAAGGACAGUUUUAAUGAUAGAACUUUUUAGGACGGGAAGUUGACUGUUGGGCUAGCCUGCCCAGAGUCCUUGGCUGUGUCUGUGUAUGAAGAGUGGAGAAAAUAAUGCACAGCAGCUUGUUAGCAGAAGAGCUCAAGGUUGCUCUGUUUUCUUUACAAGAAGAAAAAAAACCCUCACAUAUUAGAAAUGCACAAUAUACUGCACAAUCAGCUCUUGCAGGAGAAACCCAGAACCUUGAACUCAGGUCCUGAGCUGAAAGUUAAAGAUGAAAUGAUUUUCAAGUGCUUUGUAUUAAAAUGUAUUCAUAAUUUUAAAGUCUGCACAUAUCUACUGUUAAAAGAUUUAGGAUGUUAAACAAUUUUUAUAUUUAUUUUAGAAGUGCUGCAGUUCACUUUUAAGAACCAAAUUUAAAAGCUCUUUUUGUUACUCAAUCCAACAUGCUGUAAUGGUCUGAAAUGAGCAAGAUAUAUGGAAAUUAGACAGUUUAGCUUUGGUUUUAGUUUGAAAAGCUUCUUUCAAUGUGCAAGCAUUUUGUCUGUGCUGUAUUUUAUUUUUAAAGACAGUCUCAUGAUAAUAAAAUGCAGAAAGGUUAA